rnacentral:pre_miRNA from 1 species
UCACUUCUCGUGUUUCGACGUUUGAACUUAGAUUUGUAUUUUUUUCAUAAAUCUGUUCAUUCCUCGACACUAGGAGUUU